GAUGAACGCUGGCGGCGUGCCUAAUACAUGCAAGUCGAGCGAACAGACGAGGAGCUUGCUCCUCUGACGUUAGCGGCGGACGGGUGAGUAACACGUGGAUAACCUACCUAUAAGACUGGGAUAACUUCGGGAAACCGGAGCUAAUACCGGAUAACAUGUUGAACCGCAUGGUUCAACAGUGAAAGACGGUCUUGCUGUCACUUAUAGAUGGAUCCGCGCCGCAUUAGCUAGUUGGUAAGGUAACGGCUUUCCAAGGCAACGAUGCGUAGACGACCUGCGAGGGUGAUCGGCCACACUGGAACUGAGACACGGUCCAGACUCCUACGGGAGGCAGCAGUAGGGAAUCUUCCGCAAUGGGCGAAAGCCUGACGGAGCAACGCCGCGUGAGUGAAGAAGGUCUUCGGAUCGUAAAACUCUGUUAUUAGGGAAGAACAAAUGUGUAAGUAACUAUGCACGUCUUGACGGUACCUAAUCAGAAAGCCACGGCUAACUACGUG
rnacentral:rRNA from 1 species